GAUGAACGCUGGCGGUGUGCCUAAUACAUGCCAGUCGAGCGAACAGACGAGGAGCUUACUCCUCUGACGUUAGCGGCGGACGGGUGAGUAACACGUGGAUAACCUACCUAUAAGACUGGGAUAACUUCGGGAAACCGGAGCUAAUACCGGAUAACAUGUUGGACCGCAUGGUUCAACAGUGAAAGACGGUCUUGCUGUCACUUAUAGAUGGAUCCGCGUCGCAUUAGCUAGUUGGUAAGGUAACGGCUUACCAAGGCAACGAUGCGUAGCCGACCUGAGAGGGUGAUCGGCCACACUGGAACUGAGACACGGUCCAGACUCCUACGGGAGGCAGCAGUAGGGAAUCUUCCGCAAUGGGCGAAAGCCUGACGGAGCAACGCCGCGUGAGUGAAGAAGGUCUUCGGAUCGUAAAACUCUGUUAUUAGGGAAGAACAAAUGUGUAAGUAACUAUGCACGUCUUGACGGUACCUAAUCAGAAAGCCACGGCCAACUACGUG
rnacentral:rRNA from 1 species